rnacentral:lncRNA from 1 species
UCAUUACCUGCCUUGUGCCCCUGACUCACCUGUGCCCUAUCAAAUGCUUAUGAGCAUCCUCAGUGUCCUCCAAGUCUUCUCAUGCACUUGCAAGGAGCCUGUGUCCAGCAGGGCUUCAAAGGAGACUGUAAGAAACAGAGAACAAAGACAGAUGAGAGUCUCCUUGGAAGCUGAGGAAACUGGAAUGUCUUGGGUUUGGCAUAUGACACCAAAAAUCUGCAAACUUUAAAGGCUCUAUUGAGAGUUGGUACAAAGGCAGCCCGAGGCGCUCUCUGCAUUUUUCUCAAUUAAAACAGAGAGUAGAAGCACUUUGGACAGUGGACCAAACCUCAGAGAGACGUGGCGUGGCCAGAAAAGCAACUCUGCUGGCUGGACCUGUGUGCUCUGCCUAUGGAGCUCAUGGACUAGAGAUAAGGAAUACAGGUUAUUUCUGACUCUGCUCCAUAGGGGUGGUCCUAUAGAGCUUUUCAUGUUGGAUAACUUUUAUCUCUAAUGUGGUCAGGAAGUGGCUUGUGCUUCCACAUUUCCACAGCACUGAUCCCAGUGAGAACACUGCCUGUGAUGGAGUACUCCUGGGUUCUAGCUCAACAUGUGAAAUAAAUAUUUGUAUUAAUGAUACA